UUAAAAUUCAAUAUAUUCGCCCUUAAAAUUCAAUAUAUUUGUACUUAGUUAAUGCUUAUAUUAAAAUUUAUUAUGCAAAUGAGUAAAAUUUAUUAUGCUAAUGAGCACCAUUUAUUAAUCUGAUGAAUAAAAAUGGGUUUUAUUGAUAUUUAUAUUUAAUUUUUUGUCAUUUUUUUCUGUUUUUAGGGAAGCUCCGAGCGGAGCUCGCCAAAUGCGACGCCACCAUCCGUGAGUGUGAAAAAUCCCAAAAUUACACAAAAUUUGGGGGGAAAAUCCCAAAAUUCCAGAAUUUUGGAAAAAUUCUGUUAAUUUUACAGAAUAUUGGGGAAAAAAAAAAUCCCAGAAUUUCAGAAUAUUUUGGGGGGAAAAUCCCAGAAUUUCACAGAAUUCGGGGGAAAGGAUUUAAAUUUUAUGGAAUUUUGGGGGGAAAUUCCAAAAUUUCACAGAAAUUUGGGGUGAAAUCCCAAAAUUUGGGGAAAAAUCCCAGAAUUUCACAACAUUUUGGGUGGGAAAUUCCAGAAUUUCACAGAUUUUUGGGAGAAAAUUCCAGAAUUUCACAGAAUUUGGGGUGAAAAUCCCAAAAUUUGGGGGGAAAAUCCCAAAAUUCCGCAGAAUUUGGGGGGAAAAUUCCAAAAUUUCAAAGAUUUUGGGGUGAAAAUCCCAAAAUGUGGGGGAAAAUCCCGGAAUUUAAUAAAAUUUCGAGGGGAAAAUUCUGGAAUUUCACAGAAUUUGGGGGGAAAAUCCCAAAAUUUGGGGAAAAUUCCAGAAUUUCACAGAAUUUUGGGGGGAAAAUUCCAGAAUUUGACAGAAUUUGAGGGGAAAAAAUCCAAAAUUUUGGGUGAAAUUAACGGAAUUUGGCGAUUCCAGGGAUCUUCACGGUGGAGCUCGGCGAGCGCCACACGAAAAUCGGGGAGCUCACGGCCGAUGUGGGUGAGUUUGAAUUUUAUUUUUCUUUUACAUUUAUUUUUAUCUUUUUUAUUUUAAAUUUUUUAAAAUUUAAAUUUAUUUUAUUUUAUAGUUAUUUUAUAGUUUAUUUUUACUUUAUUUUAUUUAUAUUUAUUUAUUUGUAUUUACCUAAAUUUAUUUUUAUUUUUCUGUUUCUAUUUCUAU
rnacentral:lncRNA from 1 species